rnacentral:rRNA from 1 species
AUGAAGCCCUAUGUUCUUUUUCUCACUGGGAAGGGAGUCAUGUUUGAGUUCCUGCUUGAGAUUGAUUUCCACGUUGAAGGGGAGGGAGUCCUGUUUGAGUUCCUGUAUCAAAGGAUAAAUAAGAAGGGGCAUGCUGUCGUGGUUGUUGCUGAAGGCAUUGGUCAGGAUUACCAGAAGCGAGAGUAG